rnacentral:rRNA from 1 species
UACGUAGGGUGCAAGCGUUGUCCGGAAUUAUUGGGCGUAAAGAGCUCGUAGGCGGUUUGUCGCGUCUGCUGUGAAAUCCCAGGGCUUAACCCUGGGCCUGCAGUGGGUACGGGCAAACUAGAGUGCGGUAGGGGAGAUCGGAAUUCCUGGUGUAGCGGUGAAAUGCGCAGAUAUCAGGAGGAAUACCGGUGGCGAAAGCGACUCUCUGGACGGUUACUGACGCUGAGGCACGAAAGCGUGGGGAGCAAACAGG